rnacentral:rRNA from 1 species
UUAAGCAUAUCAAUAAGCGGAGGAAAAGAAACCAACAGGGAUUGCCUCAGUAACGGCGAGUGAAGCGGCAACAGCUCAAAUUUGAAAUCUGGUCCUUUCAGGCCCCGAGUUGUAAUUUGUAGAGGAUGUUUCGGGCGCGGCGCGGGUCUAAGUCCUUUGGAACAGGGCGUCAGAGAGGGUGAGAAUCCCGUAUGCGACCCGUGACCAACCCCAUCUGAAACCCCUUCGACGAGUCGAGUUGUUUGGGAAUGCAGCUCAAAAUGGGUGGUAAAUUUCAUCUAAAGCUAAAUACCGGCCAGAGACCGAUAGCGCACAAGUAGAGUGAUCGAAAGAUGAAAAGCACUUUGGAAAGAGAGUCAAACAGUACGUGAAAUUGUUGAAAGGGAAGCGCUUGCGACCAGACCUGCCCGCGGGCGAUCAACCCCCCGUUCUCGGGGGUGCACUCGUCCGCGAUCAGGCCAGCAUCGGUUCGGGCGGUCGGAUAAAGGCCUUGGGAAUGUAGCUUCCUCCGGGGAGUCUUAUAGCCCUCGGUGCAAUGCGGCCAGCCCGGACCGAGGACCGCGCUUCGGCUAGGAUGCUGGCGUAAUGGUCGUAAGCGACCCGUCUUGAAACACGGACCAAGGAGUCUAACAUCUAUGCAAGUGUUUGGGUGUGAAACCCAUGCGCGGAAUGAAAGUGAACGGAGGUGAGAACCCUCAAGGGCGCAUCAUCGACCGAUCCAGAUGUCUUCGGAUGGAUUUGAGUACGAGCAUAGCUGUUGGGACCCGAAAGAUGGUGAACUAUGCCUGAAUAGGGUGAAGCCAGAGGAAACUCUGGUGGAGGCUCGCAGCGGUUCUGACGUGCAAAUCGAUCGUCAAAUUUGGGUAUAGGGGCGAAAGACUAAUCGAACCAUCUAGUAGCUG